rnacentral:rRNA from 1 species
AACGAACGCUGGCGGCAGGCUUAACACAUGCAAGUCGGACGCAUGUCUUCGGACAUGAGUGGCAGACGGGUGAGUAACGCGUGGGAAUCUACCCUUUGGUACGGGAUAGCUCCGGGAAACUGGGAUUAAUACCGUAUGUGCCCUGGACUUAAGGUUUGGGGAAGGAUUGAUCGCCAAGGGAUGAGCCCGCGUCGGAUUAGCUAGUUGGUGGGGUAAAGGGACCCACCAAGGCGACGAUCCGUAGCUGGCUGAGAGGAUGACCAGCCA